rnacentral:sRNA from 1 species
AACGGUUCCCAGAAGCUAAAGUAGUGUUUCCUUGUUAGAAGAUACAAAGCCAAUGACUCAUACGGACAUCGGCUAAACCAUCAAACCUUUGAGAUACAAUAAGAAAAUUGGUAAGUGUUUUGGAGUCAAAUAUGACUAGAUGUCAUGUUUCUGAUUGAGUAUAAGAACUAGAACCACAACUGGUU